CCUACGGGAGGCAGCAGUGAGGAAUAUUGGUCAAUGGGCGUAAGCCUGAACCAGCCAAGUCGCGUGAGGGACGACGGCCCUACGGGUUGUAAACCUCUUUUGCCGGGGGACAAACGGCGGCACGCGUGCCGUCCUGAGGGUACCCGGAGAAAAAGCAUCGGCUAACUCCGUGCCAGCAGCCGCGGUAAUACGGAGGAUGCGAGCGUUAUCCGGAUUUAUUGGGUUUAAAGGGUGCGUAGGCGGGAUGCCAAGUCAGCGGUCAAAUACGGGGGCUCAAACUGCGUCCGCCGUUGAAACUGGCGUUCUUGAGUGGGCGAGAAGUACGCGGAAUGCGUGGUGUAGCGGUGAAAUGCAUAGAUAUCACGAGGAACCCCGAUUGCGAAGGCAGCCUGCCGGGGUGCGACUGACGCUGAGGCUCGAAGGUGCGGGUAUCAAACAGGAUUAGAUACCCUAGUAGUC
rnacentral:rRNA from 1 species